GAUGAACGCUGGCGGCGUGCCUAAUACAUGCAAGUCGAGCGAACGGACGAGAAGCUUGCUUCUCUGAUGUUAGCGGCGGACGGGUGAGUAACACGUGGAUAACCUACCUAUAAGACUGGGAUAACUUCGGGAAACCGGAGCUAAUACCGGAUAAUAUUUUGAACCGCAUGGUUCAAAAGUGAAAGACGGUCUUGCUGUCACUUAUAGAUGGAUCCGCGCUGCAUUAGCUAGUUGGUAAGGUAACGGCUUACCAAGGCAACGAUGCAUAGCCGACCUGAGAGGGUGAUCGGCCACACGGGAGCUGAGACACGGUCCAGGCUCCUACGAGAGGCAGCAGUAGGGAAUCUUCCGCAGUGGGCGAAAGCCUGACGGAGCAACGCCGCGUGAGUGAUGAAGGUCUUCGGAUCGUAAAGCUCUGUUAUUAGGGAAGAACAUAUGUGUAAUUAGCUGUGCACAUCUUGACGGUACCUAAUCAGAAAGCCACGGCUAACUACGUG
rnacentral:rRNA from 1 species